UAGGGAAUCUUCCACAAUGGACGCAAGUCUGAUGGAGCAACGCCGCGUGAGUGAAGAAGGUCUUCGGAUCGUAAAACUCUGUUGUUAGAGAAGAACACGAGUGAGAGUAACUGUUCAUUCGAUGACGGUAUCUAACCAGCAAGUCACGGCUAACUACGUGCCAGCAGCCGCGGUAAUACGUAGGUGGCAAGCGUUGUCCGGAUUUAUUGGGCGUAAAGGGAACGCAGGCGGUCUUUUAAGUCUGAUGUGAAAGCCUUCGGCUUAACCGGAGUAGUGCAUUGGAAACUGGAAGACUUGAGUGCAGAAGAGGAGAGUGGAAUUCCAUGUGUAGCGGUGAAAUGCGUAGAUAUAUGGAGGAACACCGGUGGCGAAAGCGGCUCUCUGGUCUGUAACUGACGCUGAGGCUCGAAAGCGUGGGGAGCAAACAGGAUUAGAUACCCUGGUAGUCCACGCCGUAAACGAUGAGUGCUAGGUGUUGGGUCCUUUCCGGGACUCAGUGCCGCAGCUAACGCAUUAAGCACUCCGCCUGGGGAGUACGACCGCAAGGUUG
rnacentral:rRNA from 1 species